rnacentral:lncRNA from 1 species
CUGGGACUCAGAAAUGGAGUCUUUCGCUUACAGGGGCUGAGGACAAAUGCACUACCGACAGGUAGCUGUGCAACUUCCGUAUGUUUUACCCAAAAUGAAUGUAUUCUAAGUUUCGAACCAUGACGUAACGUGCUUAAUGUCUCAGUUUGAGAAAAAUUUGAAACCUGACUGGGGUUUGAACAUGGGAUCUUUAACUUACAGGGCAAAUACUCUACCAACUGAGUUAGCUGUGCCACUAUUAAACCUGCUCCCAAAUAUAAUGUUUGAAUUGUUUAAUCUAUGUGUAAGAAAAUUGAUACAUGUAUUGAUAAAGCUAUUAACAUUUACAGAUUAGACUGGCCAUGUAGAUCUCCAACAUUUUAACAUUUACACGACAAGUCAACACCAGUAGAUUAGGUGUACUACAGUUGUCAGGAAAGUCUAGCAUCAAGAUCAAAUCCAUCUUACUGUGGCAGUCAAUGUGAUCAUGUGGUAGUUUUGUGGGAUGGUAAUUAAGAAGUAAGCAUAUUGAAUACUGUGACACUGAAGGUUGGUUACCAGUGUAGUUCAAGCAGAGAACACAGUUAGAGUUCCAGUUCAUCCACAGAACUUUACAUCUACAGCUAUACAAUGAACUGAAGUUGAUCUUUUUUUCACACUGAAGGUUACAAGUAUAGUUCAAGCAGUGAACACAGUUAC